GACGUAGGGCGCGAGCGUUGUCCGGAUUUAUUGGGCGUAAAGAGCUCGUAGGCGGCUUGUCGCGUCGACUGUGAAAUCCCGCGGCUCAACUGCGGGUCUGCAGCCGAUACGGGCAGGCUAGAGUUCGGUAGGGGAGACUGGAAUUCCUGGUGUAGCGGUGAAAUGCGCAGAUAUCAGGAGGAACACCGGUGGCGAAGGCGGGUCUCUGGGCCGAUACUGACGCUGAGGCACGAAAGCGUGGGGAGCAAACAGG
rnacentral:rRNA from 1 species